GUGUGGCUUGUGGUGGCUGAACCACAGGGUUCACAGCUUGCGGACCUGCCACUGGUGGAGCUGCAACAAGAGGAGGAGGUUCAGCUGCCUCAGCUCUUUCUGGAUUGUUAAAAGCAGCACGUAGAGCACGUAUAACUGUGUUCCUGUCCCAUGUACCUCCACCCAUAUCAAGAAUCUGCUGAAUUGCACCCUCCAGAUUGGUCCCUGCAACCAGAUGUGAUGCUGCUUGCCCAUAAACAUCCCCAGACAGGGCAUCCAAAGUAGACGUUGGCGCUGAUACUGGAGUUGAUUGAGGAACUGAUGCAGCCCUGCAUGACAGAGCACACGUUGGGAUUAUGUAUUUCACCUAUUGAAAUUGAAACCAAGAUCAAGAUCCAAAUAGGCUUGGCUUUGUUUGUGGCAAAAGUUGCAGGAGUUGACAGGGUUGCUGCAACAGGAAUGGCAGGAGAAGCGGCACUCGUCUGAGGCGCCUGGAUUCAACACAACAUAUUUAACAAUAUCCAUAAACAAUACCUUUGAGGCAGCAACUGCAGUUGAAGUUCCAGCAGGGGAGCUCUUGCUCUGCGAGGAAUUAAAUAAAAUAGCAAAUGAAAAACUAUUUACAUUAUUAGUAGUUCUGCAAGUUCACUUGAAAGCUAACCAUGGUGAUUUCUACAACAGUUCUUUGAAAGUACCCAUUCACGGGUGGCUAAGUCCCGUUUAGAAAUUUGGUACCCCUGAUAUUGUCUUUAAAUAACUAAUUGUAUCACAACAAUGUAAGAUAAAAAUUUUAGUUACAGUUUUGUGAUUGACAGUUAAAAUCGGGCUGCUUAUGUGUCCGUUUAGUUUCA